rnacentral:rRNA from 1 species
GAGUUCAAGAGUACGUGAAACUGCUUAGAGGUUAAGCCCGAUGAACCUGAAUAUCCGUUAUGGAAAAUUCAUCACUAAUACUAUUGUAUUUAUAAUAUUAUAGAAAUGGUGUGCAAUUUUUCCAUAUAAGGNCAUUGUAAUCUGUUAAUGUAAUAAAUAUUUAUUAAAAGAUCUUAUAAAUAAGUUUAUUCAAAUUAGUUAUUUUCGGAUUUCUAACAUAGAAUAAAUGUAUUUGAUUUAAUAAAUCAUUGACAGAUUUAAUUAUAAUAUAGUGCUCAAAUUUUGAAAGAAUUUUACNAUAAUAUGAUAAUUCAAUUUGGUAUAUUUAUUGUAUGCGCUUAUAUGAUUAACAAUGCGAUAGAUUCAGGAUACCUUCGGGACCCGUCUUGAAACACGGACCAAGGAGUCUAACAUAUGUGCAAGUCAUUGGGUAUUUUUAAUAAAACCCAAUGGCAUAAUUAACUUAACUGUUUUUUAAAUGGGAUUAGUUUAUAUUUUAUUAUGAAAUAUUAAUUCAAUCCCGGGGCGUUCUAUACAGUUAUGUAUAAUGAUAUUUAUAUUAUUUAUACCUCUAACU